GACGAACGCUGGCGGCGUGCUUAACACAUGCAAGUCGAACGGAAAGGCCCUGCUUGCAGGGUACUCGCGUGGCGCACGGGUGAGUAACACAUGGGUGAACCGCCCUGCACUUCGUGGUAAGCCUGGGGAAAUGGGACUAAAACCGGAUAGGAGACAUUUUUAGUGUGAUGGUGGGAAAGAUUUUUGGGUGUGGGGUGAGCUCGCGGCCUAACAGCUUGGUGGUGGGGUAAUGGCCUACCAAGGCGGCGACGGGUAGCCGGCCUGGGGGGGUGGACGGCCCCAUUGGGACCUAGGGUCGGCCCCGGCUCCCACGGGGGGCCGCAGGGGGGAAUCUUGCACCAUGGGCGCGAGCCUGAUGCAGCGACGCCGCGGGGGGGAAGACCGCCUUCGGGUUGGAAACUCCCUUCGCUAUGGACCGAGCUUUUUGUGACGGUACCUAGAUAAGAAGCACCGGCUAACUACGUG
rnacentral:rRNA from 1 species